rnacentral:rRNA from 1 species
UACGAAGGGGGCUAGCGUUGCUCGGAAUCACUGGGCGUAAAGCGCACGUAGGCGGAUUGUUAAGUCAGGGGUGAAAUCCUGGAGCUCAACUCCAGAACUGCCUUUGAUACUGGCGAUCUCGAGUCCGGGAGAGGUGAGUGGAACUGCGAGUGUAGAGGUGAAAUUCGUAGAUAUUCGCAAGAACACCAGUGGCGAAGGCGGCUCACUGGCCCGGACUGACGCUGAGGUGCGAAAGCGUGGGG